rnacentral:rRNA from 1 species
UAGGGAAUAUUGCACAAUGGGCGAAAGCCUGAUGCAGCAACGCCGCGUGCGCGAAGAAGGCCUUCGGGUCGUAAAGCGCUUUUCGGGGAGAUGAGGAAGGACAGUAUCCCCGGAAUAAGGCUCGGCUAACUACGUGCCAGCAGCCGCGGUAACACGUAGGAGCCAAGCGUUAUCCGAAUUCACUGGGCGUAAAGCGCGUGUAGGCGGUUGUAUAAGUUGGAUGUGAAAGCUCCUGGCUCAACUGGGAGAGGGCGUUCAAUACUGUAUAACUAGAGGACGGCAGAGGGAGGUGGAAUUCCCGGUGUAGUGGUGAAAUGCGUAGAUAUCGGGAGGAACACCAGUGGCGAAAGCGGCCUUCUGGGCCGUACCUGACGCUCAGACGCGAAAGCUAGGGGAGCGAACGGG